GCCCGGGUGGUGAAAUUGGUAGACACGCAGGACUUAAAAUCCUGUGGACAUUGCGUCCGUGCCGGUUCGAUUCCGGCUCCGGGUACUA
rnacentral:tRNA from 1 species